GAUGAACGCUGGCGGCGUGCCUAAUACAUGCAAGUCGAGCGAACAGACGAGGAGCUUGCUCCUCUGACGUUAGCGGCGGACGGGUGAGUAACACGUGGAUAACCUACCUAUAAGACUGGGAUAACUUCGGGAAACCGGAGCUAAUACCGGAUAAUAUAUUGAACCGCAUGGUUCAAUAGUGAAAGACGGUUUUGCUGUCACUUAUAGAUGGAUCCGCGCCGCAUUAGCUAGUUGGUAAGGUAACGGCUUACCAAGGCGACGAUGCGUAGCCGACCUGAGAGGGUGAUAGGCCACACUGGAACUGAGACACGGUCCAGACUCCUACGGGAGGCAGCAGUAGGGAAUCGUCCGCAAUGGGCGAAAGCCUGACGGAGCAACGCCGCGUGAGUGAUGAAGGUCUUCGGAUCGUAAAACUCUGUUACUAGGGAAGAACAAAUGUGUAAGUAACUAUGCACGUCUUGACGGUACCUAAUCAGAAAGCCACGGCUAACUACGUG
rnacentral:rRNA from 1 species